GCGCGCUUAAUGCAUGCAAGUCGAGCGAUGAGGCUCUCUUCGGGGGUACAUCAGCGGCAGACGGGUGAGUAACACGUAUGGUGAUCUACCCCAGAGACGGGGAUAACGGGUGGAAACAUCCGCUAAUACCGGAUAGACUUGUUCGGUCAAAGGGACAACGAAAGGCUCCGGCGCUCUGGGAGGAGCCUGCGGUCCAUCAGCUAGUUGGCGGGGUAACGGACCACCAUGGCGAAGACGGGUAGGGGGUGUGAGAGCAUGGACCCCCACAAUGGGACUGGAACACGGCCCAUACUCCUACGGUAGGCAGCAGCAGGGAAUAUUGCACAAUGGACGGAAGUCUGAUGCAGCGACGCCGCGUGGAUGAUGACGGCCCUCGGGUUGUAAAAUCCUUUACAGGGGGAAGAGGAAGGACGGUACCCCUGUGUUCAAGUGUCGGCUAACUACGUGCCAGCAGCCGCGGUGAGACGUAGGACACAAGCGUUAUCCGGAUUUACUGGGCGUAAAGCGUCUGCAGGCGG
rnacentral:rRNA from 1 species